UCACACUCAGAUUAACGCUUAUUUAUUUGUUUCAGCUUUAAAUUUUGUAAGGACCCCACCACAAGGACCAAAAUACAGCGGACUAAUGAGAAUUAAAUCCAAGAGGAUUCUAAUUAUCUCUAAUAGCUUUUCUAUAAUGGUAUAUAUAUAUAUAUAUAUAUAUAUAUCAGAGCCGAAAGUCAUAUAGGUAUAAAUAAAGCCAGUUGUUUUUGCGAAUGGUAUUUUCGGAUUUCUAAAGGAUCUUACGGGGGUGGCAUAGCUUCGAGGAUGCGCCCUGGGCGGGGGAGGGCCGUGACGUCACGUCCUAUCUCGGCGGCCAUCUUGGAUUAUCUCGUCGCACCUGCGGGGUGCGGGACGUCAGUAUCGACCGCGCUAGCCGUGCACAUUUUUCAGGGAAACCCUAAAUUUGAAGUAAAUCUACUUGAACUGUUUAAUAAUUAUCUUUUCACUCACAAAA